rnacentral:misc_RNA from 1 species
CUUUGGCAAAGAGACUUUAGUGGACCUAGGUCUCCAUGAAAUUGUAGCAGAAACAAAAUGAUGUGGAUAUAUGGUCUCUUAAUUGAUGGCAAAUUAACAAAUUUCGCAGUGAGACACUGAUAGGGUGACAAGAGUCAUUGACAAUCACGGUGACAUGUUCAAAUUUGAACAAGAACUGCAAGAGCUAAAGAAUGUUAUGGUAUUAAAGCUUUUUUGUCUGAAACAUUGUCAUUUUUCAUAUCUUAUCCCAAGGCCA